rnacentral:rRNA from 1 species
AUUGAACGCUGGCGGCAUGCCUUACACAUGCAAGUCGAACGGCAGCACGGGUGCUUGCACCUGGUGGCGAGUGGCGAACGGGUGAGUAAUACAUCGGAACGUACCUUAUCGUGGGGGAUAACGCAGCGGAAGCUGUGCUAAUACCGCAUACGCCCUGAGGGGGAAAGCGGGGGAUCGCAAGACCUCGCGCGAUUAGAGCGGCCGAUGCCUGAUUAGCUUGUUGGUGGGGUAAAAGCCCACCAAGGCGACGAUCAGUAGCUGGUCUGAGAGGACGAUCAGCCACACUGGGACUGAGACACGGCCCAGACUCCUACGGGAGGCAGCAGUGGGGAAUUUUGGACAAUGGGGACAACCCUGAUCCAGCAAUGCCGCGUGAGUGAAGAAGGCCUUCGGGUUGUAAAGCUCUUUUGUCAGGGAAGAAACACCGGCUCUAACACAGUCCGGGAAUGACGGUACCUGAAGAAUAAGCACCGGCUAACUACGUGCCAGCCGCCGCAGUAU